AACGAACGCUGGCGGCAGGCCUAACACAUGCAAGUCGAGCGCGCCCUUCGGGGUGAGCGGCGGACGGGUGAGUAACGCGUGGGAACGUGCCCUUUUCUACGGAAUAGCCUCGGGAAACUGAGAGUAAUACCGUAUACGCCCUUUGGGGGAAAGAUUUAUCGGAAAAGGAUCGGCCCGCGUUGGAUUAGGUAGUUGGUGCGGUAAUGGCCUACCAAGCCGACGAUCCAUAGCUGGUUUGAGAGGAUGAUCAGCCACACUGGGACUGAGACACGGCCCAGACUCCUACGGGAGGCAGCAGUGGGGAAUCUUAGACAAUGGGGGCAACCCUGAUCUAGCCAUGCCGCGUGAGUGAUGAAGGCCUUAGGGUUGUAAAGCUCUUUCAGCUGGGAAGAUAAUGACGGUACCAGCAGAAGAAGCCCCGGCUAACUCCGUG
rnacentral:rRNA from 1 species